rnacentral:rRNA from 1 species
GACGAACGCUGGCGGCGUGCUUAACACAUGCAAGUCGAACGGAAAGGCCCUGCUUUUGUGGGGUGCUCGAGUGGCGAACGGGUGAGUAACACGUGAGUAACCUGCCCUUGACUUUGGGAUAACUUCAGGAAACUGGGGCUAAUACCGGAUAGGAGCUCCUGCUGCAUGGUGGGGGUUGGAAAGUUUCGGCGGUUGGGGAUGGACUCGCGGCUUAUCAGCUUGUUGGUGGGGUAGUGGCUUACCAAGGCUUUGACGGGUAGCCGGCCUGAGAGGGUGACCGGCACCAUGGGGACUGAGAAACGGCCCAGACCCCCACGGGGGGGAGGGGGGGGGAAUUUUGCAAAAGGGGGGGAAGCCUGAUGCGGCAACCCCGGGGGGGGGAGGACGGCCUUGGGGUGGAAAACCGCUUUCGCCUGUGACGAAGCGGGGGGGCGGGUAAUGGGAAAAGAAGCACCGGCAAACUACGU